rnacentral:rRNA from 1 species
AGAGUUUGAUCCUGGCUCAGAUUGAACGCUGGCGGUAUGCUUAACACAUGCAAGUCGAACGGAAACGAUACUAGCUUGCUAGUAGGCGUCGAGUGGCGGACGGGUGAGUAACGCGUAGGAAUCUGCCUGAUAGUGGGGGAUAGCCCGAAGAAAUUCGGAUUAAUACCGCAUAAUCUAUUCGUAGUAAAGUGGGGGACUUUUGAGCCUCACGCUAUCAGAUGAGCCUGCGUAAGAUUAGCUAGUUGGUAGGGUAAAAGCCUACCAAGGCUACGAUCUUUAGCUGGUCUGAGAGGAUGAUCAGCCACAUCGGGACUGAGACACGGCCCGAACUCCUACGGGAGGCAGCAGUGGGGAAUAUUGGACAAUGGGGGCAACCCUGAUCCAGCAAUACCGCGUGUGUGAAGAAGGCCUGAGGGUUGUAAAGCACUUUCAAUUGUGAAGAAAAGUUAACGGUUAAUAACCGUUAGCCUUGACGUUAACUUUAGAAGAAGCACCGGCUAACUCCGUGCCAGCAGCCGCGGUAAUACGGAGGGUGCAAGCGUUAAUCGGAAUUACUGGGCGUAAAGCGUGCGUAGGCGGUUUAUUAAGUCAGAUGUGAAAGCCCCGGGCUUAACCUGGGAACUGCAUUUGAAACUGGUCAACUAGAGUAUGGUAGAGGAAAGUGGAAUUUCUGGUGUAGCGGUGAAAUGCGUAGAUAUCAGAAGGAACAUCAAUGGCGAAGGCAGCUUUCUGGACCAAUACUGACGCUGAGGUACGAAAGCGUGGGUAGCAAACAGGAUUAGAUACCCUGGUAGUCCACGCC